rnacentral:pre_miRNA from 1 species
AAUAAGUUCAAUUUUAUACUAUUCAUACCCAACAUUUGAAUUUUCGCGUUAUUUGAAAAAAAACUUUAAUUUUGAAUGAUUAGUUUUUUAUUAUUAUUAGAUAAUAAUAAAGCAUGAAUAGUCUCUUAUGUGUGACUAUCUUUUUUAGUUUUUUUUCAUAAAUUUUUUAAAUAAGACGGACGGUCAAAUGUUGGAUAUUGAUACUCACGGCUGCACUUAUU